GUUUAUUUUAUUUCAUAUUUAUAUACAUUUAAGAACUUAAAUUAUUCAAAAACUAAAUAAAUUAAAUAUGUGUUCAAUGUCAAUGAAUAUUGCUAUAUUCUUAAUUUUUUAUUCCAAAAUAGGCAAUAACUGUUUCCUUUAUAGUUGACCCCACAUGUUGUCAUGAAAAUUAAUACUAAAUAAAAAAAGUAGCCAAUGAUCCAUGUUUCCUCUUACAGUCUUUGCUUUAUACGAAAAAUUAAAUACUAUGAAUAACUGCAUUGUUCCUUUUAUUGAUAAAGAGUUUCCCAUUAAAAGAGAAAGUAUUCCCAAUUAAUACUUUGCCUGUUAAAGUGUGCCCACCCCUUGACGAGUAAAAUCGUCUGGCGUUAGACAGAGUAAAAUAAUAAAGUAGGGUGCAUCAGGGCACAUGCAAUGCAACUCAAUGGGUUAACUGGAUCGCCCGGUGUUAGACAGAAUAAUAAAGUUGGGUUAACAAGUAAAAUUGUCUAGCUUUACAGUACAUCUUCCAAGGGGGGCUGGAUUUGGGGAGCAGGCCUACCACUUUGGGGGAGGGGGCUGCUUUUUUGAACCUCAAUUAAACUAUUACAGUAAUCCGACGGCCUGUCUAUAUGGUCUCCGGGUACUAGGGAAAUCUUACCCCCCCCCCCGAGCCACCCUGGCAAGGCAAAACUAUAUUCAUAUCCUAUUAUAGCAACUGCCAUGCAAGUGUUUGCAUGGAAAGUUUUGAACUUGUCUUGCCUAGUGGGAUGAUCCAGGUAGUAAGGUCACUCCGUCAGGGGGUACAGCAUCUCUAUUACUCAAGAUUAAUUAUAUAAACAUUGCCUGAGGCUAUGUAAAAUUGGUAGGCAUUCCAAUAUAAGAUCAAAUAGUCUCAGGUUUUCCCCAAUCAGAAGAACAAAUUAACAUAGUUGUAAGAAUCUGCAUCUGAUUCAUUGUAAUGAACAAUGUAGUUCAACA